rnacentral:rRNA from 1 species
UGGGGAAUUUUGGACAAUGGACGCAAGUCUGAUCCAGCCAUGCCGCGUGCGGGAAGAAGGUCUUCGGAUUGUAAAGCACUUUAAGUUGGGAGGAAGGGCAUUAACCUAAUACGUUGGUGUCUUGACGUUACCGACAGAAUAAGCACCGGCUAACUCUGUGCCAGCAGCCGCGGUAAUACAGAGGGUGCAAGCGUUAAUCGGAAUUACUGGGCGUAAAGCGCGCGUAGGUGGUUUGUUAAGUUGGAUGUGAAAUCCCCGGGCUCAACCUGGGAACUGCAUUCAAAACUGACUGACUAGAGUAUGGUAGAGGGUGGUGGAAUUUCCUGUGUAGCGGUGAAAUGCGUAGAUAUAGGAAGGAACACCAGUGGCGAAGGCGACCACCUGGACUGAUACUGACACUGAGGUGCGAAAGCGUGGGGAGCAAACA